UCCAAAUCGUCAGGCCAGCCCAGAUAUUAAUAAUGUCUAGCUAGGGUUAUUGUAAUUGGGGGAAAAUCAGACAUUUUGUUUUGGCCGUCAAAUUCAGGAGAGCUCGAUUCUCACCUUCUUCACCGUUGCUCUCAAGCUUCCCGUCGAAGCCGAUUUCCAAACUUCCUCUUCCUUCCUCAAGCGUUUUUCACCUCUUCCUCAAGAACUGAGGUCUUGUUCUGUCACGAAUAGACACUUAACCCUCGUUAGAACUGAGGUCUUGCUCUGUCGUGAUAUGUGUUCUGUAAGAGGAUUUGGCUUUUGGAGUUUAGUAGUUGUCAGAUUGGAAGGUUGACAGUCUAAUGCCGGAUCAGGAGAACGGUGUGUCUUUCUAGUUGGAUUAGUUUUAUCAGUUCUAUUUGAUUAUGUUCGUUUUUUCAAGAUAUGGUCUACAACCUCAAGCUAUUUAUUAGUCGAACAGAGAAGCCGAUGAGACACAUACGACAUGUUUGGUUUGUUCUUUUUCAAGUGAUAGGACACUGUUGUGUUUCUUUUACAGUCUAGAUGUGUACUCUUUUUCUCUUCGGAAAUUUAUCUAUUACCCCGCCGUAUUGGUGUGCGUGAACUUUUUUAAGUUUUUUUUUUUUUACUUGAACUGUUUAAGUUUCUUUUGUAUCCAUUAAUACCUUUAUGAUAAAUGAUAUUGUAUCGUCGAAUGACUAUAUGGAAUAAAAUUAUUUUUCA